GGAUGUGUGGGUGCAGGGCUGCAGGGACACAAAGAUGCAGGGAUGAGGAUGCAGGGAUGCAGAGAUGCAGGGAUGCAGGGCUGCAGAGAUGUGUGGGUGCAGGGAUGGAGGGCUGCAGGGAUACAGAGAUGCAGGGCUGCAGGGCUGUGUGGAUGCAGAGAUGCAGGGCUACAGGGAUACAAAGAUGCAGGGAUGUGGGUGCAGGGCCACAGGGCUGCAGAGAUGCAGGGAUGCAGAGAUGUGGAUGUGGGGCUGCAGAGAUGCAGGGCUGUGUGGAUGCAGGGCUGUGUGGAUGCAGGGCUGCAGGGCUGUGUGGAUGCAGGGCUGCAGAGAUGCAGGGCUGCAGGGCUGUGGCUGCAGGGCUGUGGCUGCAGGGCUGCAGGGCUGUGUGGAUGCAGGGCUGUGGAUGCAGGGCUGUGGCUGCAGGGCUGUGUGGAUGCAGGGAUGCAGGGCUGUGGCUGCAGGGCUAUGGAUGCAGGGAUGCAGGGCUGCAGAGAUGCAGGGGUGCAGGGGUGCAGGGCUGUGGCUGCAGGGCUGCAGGGCUGCAGAGCAGGGCCGUACCUGAGAAGAAGUGCGCCUUGAAGCCCUUCUUGGACACGGUGUUGUCGGACUUGAACUCGAUGCGCAUGUUGUUGUACUGCGACGUGAUGACGGCCGGCCGCGCCGCGCCGCAGAACUUCCCGUGCAGCUUGGAGUCGGCCGUCAGCCCGCUGCGCACCUCCACAAAGUCGUACUUACACACCUGGGGGGCGGGGCGGCUGGGUGACACGGGGGGGUGACGGGGGG
rnacentral:lncRNA from 1 species